UUAUAGAGCCCGCAGUCGAGAAAGUCUGUUACGCCUUGGAGCGCAUCACUGGCUUUAAAGUGAAAUUUCUCAAAAAAUACUUGGGAUAUUUGGACGAAAUAAACUGUAGAUGAUUAAGAAGACUUUCGUCUACAAAGUUUGUUGGAGGUUCAAAAUGCUGAAAAUGACACCUUUUGAGUUAUCACACUUUAUAGAGUCCGUAGUCGAGAAAGUCUGUUACGCCUUGGAGCUCAUCACUGGCUUUAAAGUGAAAUUUCUCAAAAAAUACUUGGGAUAUUUGGACGAAAUAAACUAUAGAUGAUUAAGAAGACUUUCAUCUACAAAGUUUGUUGGAGGUUCAAAAUGCUGAAAAUGACACCUUUUGAGUUAUCACACUUUAUAGAGUCCGUAGUCGAGAAAGUCUGUUACGCCUUGGAGCUCAUCACUGGCUUUAAAGUGAAAUUUCUCAAAAAAUACUUGGGAUAUUUGGACGAAAUAAACUAUAGAUGAUUAAGAAGACUUUCAUCUACAAAGUUUGUUGGAGGUUCAAAAUGCUGAAAAUGACACCUUUUGAGUUAUCACACUUUAUAGAGUCCGUAGUCGAGAAAGUCUGUUACGCCUUGGAGCUCAUCACUGGCUUUAAAGUGAAAUUUCUCAAAAAAUACUUGGGAUAUUUGGACGAAAUAAAC